UUUCAGUCAAAUCCGUAUUUCUCAAACUCUGAGUUCAUAGUGAAAUUUUCUUGUAAUUGUUCACCAUUUUUCUUCUUCCUUCAAACGCAACUAGUUCGCUUGUAAUUGGAAACAGCUAUUCCAUAUUAUUACAGAAAUUGUAUCUUUAGGGUUUUGAAGCAGAACUCAAUCUUUAUUGUUCCAGCCACUCCUUUAGAGAGUAAUUAAGAGUUUCCUGUUUGGUGCUGGCAGGAGGGUGCGGCCUCCCUAUACCGCUGACGUCAAUUCCUAAAAGCAGCGCCCAGCCUGCGUGGCACACCCACAGGAUGUCUGAAGUUGUCCCUCCACCUUCAUAAACAUCAUUUUUUGCUUUUGAAGCCCACAGGUACAGCGCAGCCCUUGCUCUGCUUUCUGCAAACAAGACUGUUUUAAACCAAACUAGAUCUGUGAUCCAGUUCACGCAGUGGCCCCAGUAACAGUUGUACCAGCACAAUGAGUUCAGACUGGAGUGGAAACAAAUGGCUGGGAGGAGAGUGAGCUUCAGGAACUACUUGAGCUGCCAAAAAGCCACCCACGGAACAAUGGCCUCAGAAACUGCUUUUCAUAUACUAAGCUGCACAUUACUUAAUUGACCUGGGAGAUACAUGGUGCUAUGCCCACCACAUAACUAUACACUGAGAAACAUGAAUUCAAGCAAGAGUGGAGUUAAACUGUUCUUAGAAGUGCAAGUAAUGGGUCCAAAUCAACUGAUUAAAUAACUGGAAAACAAUCAUCACUAAAGCAAGAAAUUAUGCAUCUGAACCAUACAAGCAAUGAAAAAUGCACAGCUGAACUACAUAAGCAAUGGGUGAGAAACUCAAGAGUGCAAAAGGUAAGUCCUAAACCUGACCUUGACCUGUGUGACAAUCUCACAUUUUAGUGGAAAAACUUUUUGUAAACCAAAUAUUAACACUCAUUACAGAGUAUAGUAUCAUUAAACAACUAUCCAGAUCAAUUUUGCAUUUAAAAAGUGUUGAUAACUGAGGUUGUUU